GACGAACGCUGGCGGCGUGCCUAAUACAUGCAAGUCGAACGCAGUGGGGGCGGGGGAGUAACACGUGGGUAACCUCCCAUCAGAGGGGAUAACACUUGGAAAAAGGUGCUAAACCGCUACUGGUGGAUGGACCCGCGGUGCAUUAGCUAGUUGGUGGGGUAACGGCUCACCAAGGCCACGAGGCAUAGCCGACCUGAGAGGGUGACCGGCCACACUGGGACUGAGACACGGCCCAGACUCCUACGGGAGGCAGCAGUAGGGAAUAUUCGGCAAUGGACGAAAGUCUGACCGAGCAAUGCCGCGUGAGUGAAGAAGGUUUUCGGAUCGUAAAACUCUGUUGGUAGAGAGGCGUUAUCUAACCAGAAAGCCACGGCUAACUCCGUGCCAGCAGCCGCGGUAAUAC
rnacentral:rRNA from 1 species